rnacentral:SRP_RNA from 1 species
GCAGGGCGUGGUGGCGCAUGCCUGUAGUCCCGGCUACUUGGGAGGCUGAGGUAGGAGAAUCACUUGAGCCCUGGAGGUCUAGGCUGUAGUGAGCCGAGAUGGCGCCACUGCAUUCCAGCCUGGGCAACAGAGCAAGACUCCAUCUCAA